GGAAAAAAUGCUUGAUUGUCUGCUUUUUUUUUAGAUUUGUUCUAACUCGUCAUCUGAAAUUUGAUCCUGCACCUUGUGUCUGAUGGGUCCUCUGAUUUUUAUGGUGAGACCUCUAGUUCUGGUGCAUAAAGGAAAUGCUAUUUUUAUAGCAACGGCCAGACAACCGUAGAGAUGAAUCCACAGACAAAUGGUUUUUGUAUAAUUUGUCUACUGAUUUCAUCUCAAAUUCUGAAAGAUUUUUUACAGAAGCACAAUAAUUGCAUUGCCUAAGUGUGUUUGGAACUUGAGGUGAAAGUUUCUGGAUUUCCUAGUCCGACUCAAUUGCCUCUUUGGUACUACUUAUCUUGUAUAGCUGUGGUGCGAUAAUUCUUAUCUGUUUCUUAAAAAAUGUUGUGUUGAAUGAACAUCAAUGCCAAAUCCUACACACUUAUUCUUGAAGAAUGAAGGUAUAUGUUUUGUAAUGCAUGAUUAAUUUUGGGUUCCUUGAGAUAUCAUGAAUUCAAGAUUAAAAUUUGAUCUUUCGAAGAAAAGCAUUGAAGCUGUUUGCAGAAUAAUAGCAAUUUUGUGCAUUGAUUUGUGUGGGGGUCUUUGUUAGUUUUUAAGUGAAUUUUACUAUCUUAUUAUGCUGCUUCGUUUUGGUUAUUUAAUUUACACUACUGUUAGGAAUUUGUUUCAUUUUAUCAAUGUUGUUUGACAGAUGUUUUCUUAUAAGAAUCUUGUUUGUUUUAUUGUGGUUUUCUGGAUUUGUUCCAACUUGUUAUGAGAAUUUUGAUCCUUGCACCUUUUGUCUGAUGGGUCCGCAGAUUUUUAUGGCGAGACCUCUAGUUACGGUGCAUAAAGAAAAAGUUGUUUUUACAGCAGCGGCCAGACAACCGUAGAGAUGAAUCCACAGACCUGCUAAGUGGAGGCCUCCACUGCUGUCUGUUCUUGCUGAACACCUGAGAUGAGAUCUUCACUGUCUCCAUUGAAUGAGCCACCUCAACGGCCACAGCUGCAAGGUGCCUUCGCUUUCUGUAGUAGAGAGAGACAGCCCCUGUAACCUUGCUGGAUCUCUUACCAUUUGGCCAAGAGUUUUUGCCAUUUUAAAUGAAUACCUAUCUCUAUAUUAAUAAAAUAACGUUUUUGUAUUCAUUUUAUUUUUUAUAUUUGACCAGUGCCCCGCUACAUGCGCCAUUUCUAACUUGAAAAUGCACAUGCUCAGUAAGUCCAUGUUAUUGUAAUCUCGAAAAAUAUAGAGCUUGUUUGUAAUAAGACGACAUAUACGAUGCUCUUUUCAGCUCUAUUUUUACCAUCAUCAAACGAAGGUUCAUUAUGUAACGAUAUAUUGUAAUGUUUUGUUUUUUAUAAUGAAGCGUUUGAUUAAUUGAUACAA